rnacentral:lncRNA from 1 species
UAUAAAUGAAAAUAUACGAAUUAAAAUGUAAAAGGGCAAAUAUACAAUUUUGAACAAUGCAUAUGACAAGAGUGACGACUACAUUAAUGAAUAGGAAUUUAGAACUGAUGAAGGAGUGGGAUUCAAAAUGUUAUAAGUGAGCAAGAAAAUUCAUAACAUGUGACAAAAGCUACAUAAAGAGUGAAUGCCUGAAACAACAUUGUUUCGUAAUGAUUACAUGUUGGAAUAUGAAAACAAAUGGUACUAAAUUUCAAAACAGCAACGACAAUAUAAAAUGGAAAGGUAUGGCGAAAUCCAAAUCAUUCUAAGCUCCUUUAUAAUAAGGUAGGAAUUAGAAGUGUACCUAGUAUAUACCCUCGACCAACGCUGAAUGGAUGAAUAUUAAAAGCAAUAUUUUUGUGAGCCAUAAUCAAAGCCAACAGCAUUGCUUCUUUAAUGAAAGAAUACUCUUCCAGCAUAUAACAAUAUGUCUGAUUUUGUUUUAAAAAUACUUAUUGGCCAGGCGAGGUGGCUCAUGCCUCUAAUCCAAGCACUUUGGGAGGCUGAGGCGGGUGGAUCACCUGAGGUCUGGAGUUCGAUACCAGCCUGGCCAACCUGCUGAAACCCCAUCUCUACUAAAAAUACAAAAAUUAGCUGGGUGUGGUGGCGGGCACCUGUAAUCCCAGCUACUCGGAGGCUGAGGCAGGAGAAUCACUUGAACCCGGGAGGCGGAGGUUGCAGUGAACCAAGAUUGCAGCAUUGCACUCCAGCCUGGGCGACAGAGCAAGACUCUGUCUCCAAAAAAAAAAAAAAGAAAAAUAAUUAUUAUUAACAUUUUUGUCAUGAAAUUUUGGCCAUCAAAUUUAAAAGUUAAUAUUAUUGUGCAACACUUUCAGCCAAUGGAUUCUUUUUUUCGUUAACACUAUUGAACAGUAGAGUGAUUGAUGCCUCAUCCUUUUCACCUAACAUUGAAUCUCGUUUGUCUCUAUUACUUCCUUUUAAUCUAUUAUUUCUUUUUUAAUCUAGAAGAAAAAUGAUUCAUCGUGGAUAAGAACUAUAAAGCAAUUGUUUUGUUUGUUUGUUUGUUUCUGGCUUUUUUUUUUUUUUGAGACAGAGUCUCGCUCUAUCGCCCAAGCUGCUGUGCAAUGGCGCAAUCUUGGCUCACCACAACCUCUGCCUCCUGAGUUCGAGCCAUUCUCCUGGCUCAGCCUCCCGAGUAGCUGGGAUUGCAGGCGUGUAUUUUGAGUAGAGACAGGGUUUCACCACGUUGGCCAGGCUGGUCUUGAACUCCUGACCUCGUGAUCUACCUGCCUCAGCCUCCCAAAAUGCUGGGAUUACAGGUGUGAGCCACCAAGCCCGACUUAAAGCAACUGUUUGAAGGCACUGAUAAGCUGUCAACCCAGGCAAGGCUUGACAAACUACAAUCCUUGAGAGAAGGGAAGCACAUUAUAUGAGUUUGCACAUUUGAAAGUGCUUUCCUCCUGAAGGUGUGUCCCGUAUUGCACCAUUGUGGAAUAGACCUCAUGUGGAAAGAGGCAGUUGUGCUGGACUAAGGAGAUACUGGUCAGAGUUUGGGGCUACCAACGUGCAUAGAACUUGAUGGUCAAAAUUCAAGUGAUGAGGGAACCACAGAGAAAGAUCUCAAAUUUGUAUUAUAAAUUCUCCUUAUAUUACUGGCUAAUUCCUAAGUUGUACCUACACAGGAAGAUGUUCCAGUACAGGAAAGAGCAACUGGAAGGCUAAUGAUCUGUAGAGAUCCAGUAGCUGCAUGGUUCUAGGGAGACAGAGGUUGAUGUUCAUGCCUCUCCCAGUUGGAGCCCCAUUGGUAAAAUGGCUGUUGUUUUGAGACUUCAGAAAUACUAACCCUUAGCACUAAGUGAUAAACCUUUAAAGUAAGGACCACAUAAAAGGAGUAAGGCUAUGCCUUCACAGCAAGGAAAAACUAAACUAGACAAAUUGUAACAAAGCUUCAGUCUUUGUUGUAUCCGGGAAAAACUACCAGAAGACUCUGAAUGUUUGGAAAUAAAGCAGUUUGUGUCCUACACUCUACAGGUCAAAGAAGAAAACACAAUAUAAAUUUUUAAAUGUUUUAAGCUGAAAGAUAAUGAAAAUAAGACGUAUCAUAAUUUGUCUAAUGCAUCUAAAGCUGUUUAUAGAGAACAAUUUUUACUUUUAACUACAUGUAUUACAACAAUAGAAAGAUUGAAAAUCCAUGAUCUAACUCAAGAGACUAUAAAAAGCCAGCAAUUUAAAUGCAAAAAGUACAAGGAGCUAUUAAAAAUAAGUGCAGAAAUCAAUAAAAUGGAAAGCAAACAUACAUCACAGAAAAUCAACAAAGUAAAAGUUUGGUUCUUUGAAAAGAUUGAUAAAACGAAUGUACCCUGAAUAAGACUGAUUUUAAAAAGAGGGUAAGAUAACACAUGAAUACUAGCAUUGGGAAUGAAACAGAUUAUAUGUAUGUGUGUGUGUGUAUGUGUAUAUAUAUAUAUAUAUAUAUAUAUAUAUACAUGCACACAUAUAUACACCCUAAAGAUAUUUUAAAAACAAGAAAGAGGUAUUAUAAAUGUGUUUAUGUCAAUAUAUGUGAAACAUUUGAUGAAAUAGAUAUAUUCCUUGAAAAACACAAUAUGGCCGGGUGCAGUGGAUCACGCCUGUAAUCCUAGCACUUUGGGAGACCGAGGCAGGUGGAUCACCUGAGGUCAGGAGUUUGAGACCAGCCUGGCCAACAUGGUGAAACCCUUUCUCUACUAAAAAUACAAAAAUUAGCCAGGCGUGGUGGCACAUGCCUGUGAUCCCAGCUACUCUGGAGGCUGAGGCACAAGAAUUGCUUGAACCCGGGAGGCGGAGGUUGCAGUGAGCCAAGAUCGCGCCACUGCACUCAAGCCUGGGCCACAGAGUGAGACUCCGUCUCAAAAAAAAAAAAAAAAGAAAGAAAGAAAGAAAAAAAGACAAACAAUAUGCCACAACUGACACCAAAAGCAAUAGGAAAUCUUUAUUGCCCUAUACUUAUUGGAAAAAUUAAAUCCAUAAUUUAAAGAGCCACUCAUAUACACUUCCAGGCGUAGGUAGAUUCACUUGUGAAUUCCCACAUACAAGUAAGAGAUAAAUAAUAUCAGUCUUUCAGAAAGCUAUUCAGAGAACUGAAAAAGAGAAAACAUUGUUCAGCUAAUUUAACUACACAGACAUAAUUCUGAUACCAAAACCCAGAAAGAGAGUACAAGAACAGAAUAUUACAAGCCAAUAUUUCUUUUAAACAUAGAC